CCGCUGGAACUUAAGCAUAUCAAUAAGCGGAGGAAAAGAAACCAACAGGGAUUGCCCUAGUAACGGCGAGUGAAGCGGCAACAGCUCAAAUUUGAAAGCUGGCUCCGGCCCGCAUUGUAAUUUGCAGAGGAUGCUUCUGGCGAGGUGCCUUCCGAGUUCCCUGGAACGGGACGCCAUAGAGGGUGAGAGCCCCGUAUGGAUGGACACCAAGCCUGUGUGAAGCUCCUUCAACGAGUCGAGUAGUUUGGGAAUGCUGCUCAAAAUGGGAGGUAAAUCUCUUCUAAAGCUAAAUACCGGCCAGAGACCGAUAGCGCACAAGUAGAGUGAUCGAAAGAUGAAAAGCACCUUGAAAAGGGGGUUAAACAGUACGUGAAAUUGUUGAAAGGGAAGCGCUUGUGACCAGACUUGCGCCGGGCAGCUCAUCAGGGGUUCUCCCCUGUGCACUCUGCCCGGCUCAGGCCAGCAUCGGUUCUCGUGGGAGGAUAAGAACGGUGGGAACGUGGCCCCCCUCCGGGGGGGUGUUAUAGCCCACCGUACGAUACUCUCGUGGGGACCGAGGUUCGCGCUCCGCAAGGAUGCUGGCGUAAUGGUCAUCAGCGACCCGUCUUGAAACACGGACCAAGGAGUCGUCCAUUAGAGCGAGCGUUUGGGUGUAAAACCCGCACGCGUAAUGAAAGUGAACGCAGGUGAGAGCUUCGGCGCAUCAUCGACCGAUCCUGAUGUCUUCGGAUGGAUUUGAGUAAGAGUUUUAACGGACGGACCCGAAAGACAGUGAACUAUGCUUGUAUAGGGUGAAGCCAGAGGAAACUCUGGUGGAGGCUCGCAGCGGUUCUGACGUGCAAAUCGAUCGUCAAAUAUGAGCAUGGGGCGAAAGACUAAU
rnacentral:rRNA from 1 species